rnacentral:rRNA from 1 species
ACUCCUACGGGAGGCAGCAGUAGGGAAUCUUCCACAAGGGACGCAAGUGGGAUGGAGCACAGCCGCGUGAGUGAAGAAGGGGUUCGGCUGGUAAAACGAUGAAGGGG